GAUGAACGCUAGCGGCAGGCUUAAUACAUGCAAGUCGAGGGGCAGCAUGACCGUAGCAAUACGGUUGAUGGCGACCGGCAAACGGGUGCGGAACACGUACACAACCUUCCUUUGAGCGGGGAAUAGCCCAGAGAAAUUUGGAUUAAUACCCCAUAGCAUAUUGAAAAGGCAUCUUUUUAAUAUUAAAGAUUUAUCACUUAAAGAUGGGUGUGCGGCUGAUUAGGUAGUUGGCGGGGUAAUGGCCCACCAAGCCGACGAUCAGUAACUGGUGUGAGAGCACGACCAGCCACACUGGAACUGAGACACGGUCCAGACUCCUACGGGAGGCAGCAGUGGGGAAUUUUGGACAAUGGGCGAAAGCCUGAUCCAGCCAUUCCGCGUGCAGGAUGAAGGCCCUCGGGUUGUAAACUGCUUUUGUACAGAACGAAAAGGUUUCCACUAAUACUAGGAGCUCAUGACGGUACUGUAAGAAUAAGCACCGACUAACUACGUGCCAGCCGCCGCAGUAAAAC
rnacentral:rRNA from 1 species